GAGUAACACGUGGGUGAUCUGCCCUGUACUUCGGGAUAAGCUUGGGAAACUGGGUCUAAUACCGGAUAUGACCUCCACUUUGUGGGAUGUGUGUGUGUGGAAAGCUUUUGCGGUAUGGGAUGAGCUCGCGGCCUAUCAGCUUGUUGGUGGGGUAAUGGCCUACCAAGGCGUCGACGGGUAGCCGGCCUGAGAGGGUGUACGGCCACAUUGGGACUGAGAUACGGCCCAGACUCCUACGGGAGGCAGCAGUGGGGAAUAUUGCACAAUGGGCGCAAGCCUGAUGCAGCGACGCCGCGUGGGGGAUGACGGCCUUCGGGUUGUAAACUCCUUUCGUCAGGGACGAAGCGAAAGUGACGGUACCUGGAUAAGAAGCACCGGCUAACUACGUGCCAGCAGCCGCGGUAAUACGUAGGGUGCGAGCGUUGUCCGGAAUUACUGGGCGUAAAGAGCUCGUAGGUGGUUUGUCGCGUCGUUUGUGUAAGUCCACGGCUUAACUGUGGGAUGGCAGGCGAUACGGGCAUAACUUGAGUGCUGUAGGGGAGACUGGAAUUCCUGGUGUAGCGGUGAAAUGCGCAGAUAUCAGGAGGAACACCGAUGGCGAAGGCAGGUCUCUGGGCAGUAACUGACGCUGAGGAGCGAAAGCAUGGGUAGCGAACAGGAUUAGAUACCCUGGUAGUCCAUGCCGUAAACGGUGGGCGCUAGGUGUGAGUCCCUUCCACGGGGUUCGUGCCGUAGCUAACGCAUUAAGCGCCCCGCCUGGGGAGUACGGCCGCAAGGCUAAAACUCAAAGGAAUUGACGGGGGCCCGCACAAGCGGCGGAGCAUGUGGAUUAAUUCGAUGCAACGCGAAGAA
rnacentral:rRNA from 1 species